UAAUAAGUGUUUUAUGGCACUUUUUAAAUCCAUAUCCACCUUGUGUGCAAUGUCGGUCGAUCUUCUUUUUUUGAGGGUCGACCAAACAUCAACCUUCAUUUUUUAACUCUUUGUCUGAAAAAUAUUAUGAAUAAACAAUUCAAAAUA
rnacentral:misc_RNA from 1 species